GCAGGCCUAACACAUGCAAGUCGAGCGCACCUUCGGGUGAGCGGCGGACGGGUUAGUAACGCGUGGGAACGUACCCUUUUCUACGGAAUAGCCUUUGGAAACGAAGAGUAAUACCGUAUACGCCCUUCGGGGGAAAGAUCUAUCGGAGAAGGAUUGGCCCGCGUAAGAUUAGAUAGUUGGUGGGGUAAUGGCCUACCAAGUCUACGAUCUUUAGCUGGUUUUAGAGGAUGAUC
rnacentral:rRNA from 1 species